rnacentral:rRNA from 1 species
GACGAACCGAGCGAACGUUGUUCGGAAUCACUGGGCUUAAAGGGCGCGUAGGCGGGCUGUCAAGUCUGGGGUGAAAUCCCACGGCUCAACCGUGGAACUGCCUUAGAUACUGACGGCCUCGAGGGAGGUAGGGGCGAGCGGAACUGUGAGUGGAGCGGUGAAAUGCGUUGAUAUUCACAGGAACUCCGGUGGCGAAGGCGGCUCGCUGGACCUUUUCUGACGCUGAGACGCGAAAGCUAGGGGAGCAAACGGG